rnacentral:rRNA from 1 species
AUUGAACGCUGGCGGCAUGCCUUACACAUGCAAGUCGAACGGCAGCACGGGUGCUUGCACCUGGUGGCGAGUGGCGCACGGGUGAGUAAUACAUCGGAACAUGUCCUGUAGUGGGGGAUAGCCCGGCGAAAGCCGGAUUAAUACCGCAUACGAUCUACGGAUGAAAGCGGGGGACCUUCGGGCCUCGCGCUAUAGGGUUGGCCGAUGGCUGAUUAGCUAGUUGGUGGGGUAAAGGCCUACCAAGGCGACGACCAGUAGCUGGUCUGAGAGGACGACCAGCCACACUGGGACUGAGACACGGCCCAGACUCCUACGGGAGGCAGCAGUGGGGAAUUUUGGACAAUGGGCGAAAGCCUGAUCCAGCAAUGCCGCGUGUGUGAAGAAGGCCUUCGGGUUGUAAAGCACUUUUGUCCGGAAAGAAAUCCUUGGCCCUAAUACGGUCGGGGGAUGACGGUACCGGAAGAAUAAGCACCGGCUAACUACGUG